rnacentral:rRNA from 1 species
UACGGGGGGGGGCAAGCGUUGUUCGGAAUUACUGGGCGUAAAGGGCUCGUAGGCGGCCAACUAAGUCAGACGUGAAAUCCCUCGGCUUAACCGGGGAACUGCGUCUGAUACUGGAUGGCUUGAGUUUGGGAGAGGGAUGCGGAAUUCCAGGUGUAGCGGUGAAAUGCGUAGAUAUCAGGAGGAACACCGGUGGCGAAGGCGGAUCUCUGGGCCAUUACUGACGCUGAGGAGCGAAAGCGUGGGGAGCGAACAGG